rnacentral:rRNA from 1 species
GACGAACGCUGGCGGCGUGCUUAACACAUGCAAGUCGAACGAUGAACCAGGGCUUGCCCUGGGGAUUAGUGGCGAACGGGUGAGUAACACGUGGGCAACCUGCCCCAGACACCGGGAUAACCAUUCGAAAGAGUGGCUAAUACCGGAUACGACCACUUUGGGCAUCCAACGGUGGUGGAAAGGAUUCUGGUCUGGGAUGGGCCCGCGGCCUAUCAGCUUGUUGGUGGGGUAAUGGCCUACCAAGGCGUCGUCGGGUAGCCGGACUGAGAGGGCGACGGCGCAAACGGGGACUGAGGCACGGCCCAGACGCCUACGGGAGGCAGCAGUGGGGAAUAUUGCGCAAUGGGCGAAAGCCUGAAGCAGCGACGCCGCGUGAGGGACGAAGGUCUUCGGAUUGUAAACCUCUUUCAGCAGGGACGAAGCGAAAGUGACUGUACCUGCAGAAGAAGCACCGGCUAACUACGUGCCAGCCGCCGCGGUAACAC